rnacentral:rRNA from 1 species
UACGUAGGGGGCAAGCGUUGUCCGGAUUUAUUGGGCGUAAAGGGCUCGUAGGCGGUUUGUCACGUCAGGAGUGAAAACUCGGGGCUCAACCCCGAGCCUGCUUCUGAUACGGGCAGACUAGAGGUAUGCAGGGGAGAACGGAAUUCCUGGUGUAGCGGUGAAAUGCGCAGAUAUCAGGAGGAACACCGGUGGCGAAGGCGGUUCUCUGGGCAUUACCUGACGCUGAGGAGCGAAAGUGUGGGGAGCGAACAGG